rnacentral:lncRNA from 1 species
CCAAGCUCUGCAGUUACCCCCAUGGAAGAACAAGCCAGUGGUCUCAGCUGCCUUGGAAGUGCUCUUCCACCUCUGGAUUUUUUGUUCUUUUAGUCCUCAUUGCUUCCACAGCUUUCUUACGUUGGUUAGUCUGGUCUUUGAAGCAGGCGCAUUGGCCUGCCUCCUAUCUAAUCACUUACUUUAGGGAAGUGGAAGUCAGAAGUUUAUCUUUAUAAAAAGAAAAGGCAGAUAAUUU